rnacentral:rRNA from 1 species
GUCUCUUUGAGGAAUUAAUAAUAAAGAGUUUGGCCUGCUCAGUGAGAUUUUUAACAGCUGCGGUAUUAUAACUGUACUAAGGUAGCAUAAUAAUUUGCCUUAUAAAUUAGGGCUAGAAUGAAUGGUUUGACGAAAAUUAUACUGUCUCUAUUUUAAUUGAUAGAAAUUAAUUUUUAUAGUGAAAAAGCUUAAAUAGUUUAAAGGGACGAGAAGACCCUAUUGAGCUUUAUAUUAGUUAUAAUAAAAUAUAAUCUAUUUAGUUAGAUUAAAUUUAUGUUUAUUAUGUUUAAUUUUGGUUGGGGUGAUCAAGGAAUAAGAUAAAUAUUAUUUAACUUCCUUAAACAAAUUAAUUUUUUUAGAAUAAUUAACCAAUGAUAUUGCUUAUAUGAUAAGUUACCAUAGGGAUAACAGCGUAAUUUUUUUGGAGAGUUCAUAUUAAAAAAAGAGAUUGCGACCUCGAUGUUGGAUUAAAAUAACCAUAUGGUGAAGAGGCUUUAUAUGGUGAAUCUGUUCGAUUUUUAAAAUUUU